rnacentral:rRNA from 1 species
UACGUAGGGCGCGAGCGUUGUCCGGAAUUAUUGGGCGUAAAGAGCUCGUAGGCGGCUUGUCACGUCGGGUGUGAAAGACCGGGGCUUAACUCCGGUUCUGCAUUCGAUACGGGCUAGCUAGAGUGUGGUAGGGGAGAUCGGAAUUCCUGGUGUAGCGGUGAAAUGCGCAGAUAUCAGGAGGAACACCGGUGGCGAAGGCGGAUCUCUGGGCCAUUACUGACGCUGAGGAGCGAAAGCGUGGGGGAGCGAUCCGG